GGGCACAGAAAGUUUGCAGUGGGCAUGGAAGAAAAAAACACAUGAAAGACUCUGAAAAAGCAAGGACAGGGAGUAACAGAGACACAUUACAGGAUAGGCAUCAACAAUGGAAAUGAGCAGAACUCGGCUUUGCACAGAGCUCUUGAGACAUCAACAAAUUGACAAAAACAAGGAUCUCAUCCAUAAGACCACGCUACAUUUGGUCAUCACAUCUCCUCAGACUUCUCUACCCUGGAACAAUUCUCAGACUUUCCUUGUUUGUAAUGGCCUUGGCAGUUGUGAGGAGUACUGGUCAGGUUCUCAAGGACUGGAAUGAUGCCCACUGUCAUGGGUGAAGGCAGAUCUUCUUUACUCAGGCUAUUGACUCAAAUGCUAUCCUCUUCCAGAGAUACCUUCACAUGCACAUCAAGAAAUAAUGUUUUACCAGCCAUCUUGACAUCCC
rnacentral:lncRNA from 1 species